UUGUUAAACAGUUUUGAGGCAAGUCAGAAUUUACUUAUUAACAGGUUGAUCAGUAAGAACGUGGCUUUACUGCUGUACUGGAGGCCAGUCUGAGCCACUGCACUGUGUGGUGUCUUCCUUCACAAGCUGGAGCCAAGGGCUGGGAGAAUCAGCUCCAGGUGGGACUUGUAAACACUGGGAACAAGCAACUGGCAAGGUGGAGGAGCAGUUUUUAGGUUAUUUUUUCCCCCUGCCAAAAGUAAGACUUGUCCUGAACUGUAUUUUAUGCAGAACACAUGUAUUCCAUGCUUUUUUCCCCCCACUCCCUAAAAGCACAUUCCAGAAAUAAGUUUUACAAAGAAUACACUGAAACAAUGCAGUACAAACCUCAGUCAUGGCAAUUUCACUGGAGCUUUAUUGCCUCUGUUGGUAAUGAGAGGGAUUGUAAGAAGUUACAUUUUGAACUUACAGAGAUAUGUAAAUGAUGGGUUUUUACUAAAUAUAAUCUCAAGAUUAAGUGUUUUAUAUCAGGGCACUUCUAAUUUUGUACAUAUUUUAAUGUAUAAAAACAGUUUACAAACUUGAUGUUUGCCUUUUUCUUUUUUCUCUUGACAUUUGGCAAAAUUAAAUUGAUCCAUUUGCGGGGAGAUCAUCAAAUUGAAGACAUAAGCACUUACGAAUUAAAGCAAUCCAAGUAAGCAACUGGCUGCAUUCUUAAAAUAAAAACAAACCAAAAAACAAAAACCCCACACAUAUAUAAAGGAAAAAGCCACACGGCCACAUCCGAGCACGCUUCGGUACAAAAUAUUCCCUGUAACCAGGCAUUUUGUCCUUAGAACAACACCCUGUUAAAUCAAUGUUUCUUUCAACUUCAGUCAUUUUGAAAAACUUUUAAGAUGCCAUGAUAGCACAAAUAACCCUUUUCUGCAACAUAAUUAGUCAAAGUUUUUAUGUAUUUCUUUAUAAUUACACAGUAAUUAUAAGCAUGUAGUACCAAACUGAUGACAACACUAUUUUGUUGGAAAGAUCUUGCAUUCAAAAGGAAGAGUCUCUAAAACACACGGCAUUUUGCCACUGCCCAAUCCCAGACUUUUGGGAGGGACGAGUCUGCAUUGGGAUGAAAAGCAAGUCAGUUCUCCUCUCCAAACACAGCAUAUUUGAACUAAUCAAUCUGAAACAGUACCAAAACCCUCAAGACAGAAAACAGCACGCAGAGAUAACCUUGUCGAGUUUUUUUUGUUCCUCCCCACCCACCCCCAUAAUUUCAAGUCCCCAUUUUUAUUUACACAAAACUGAGAAAGGAAAUACUGAAAGCAGCAAAACACACAGUUUUUGGCGUAGCCAAUUCCAGUAGCUGGAGAAAGUCUGCAAAUGUUUUUGAGGAACUGUAUUUUUUGAAUAAAUGCACAACUGGAUUUGCCAAAAGGGCACUGCUGUAAGGGGAGCCAGCCUUAAGAUCAACUGCACAGAGUACAAAUAAAAAUUUUAGCUAUUUAAUAGUCAAUUUUUCCCUAAAAUACUUUUAGCAUCUGCAUAAAAUCGUGCUGCAGUCUAGUGCAAGUACCAAUGACUCAUCUCAAAAAUCAUUCUGGCCUUAUCAGGGCACUAUUUAGAGCAUGGACUUAAACCCCCUCUUCUCACUUUUAAGUAUGGUCUGUCUCCUCUCCUGGAGCUUGUUCUUUCCAGCUUGUUUUCCAGAGCAGGAUUUAUCACAUCUCUUCACAAGUAACUCAGUGAGGAGUAGAAGACCAUAAAAGCAGCUGAAGAGCUCUUGUAUUAUUAAAGAAUUGCAUCUGAUAAAUCCUGCUUUGAUCCAAACGAAGCGAUUUAGUCAAACGCAGCAAGACUCAAGUAGUGACGAUCCACAAAAUAAUUUAAACAAAGCCAGUGUAGUAGUUUGUAUCUGAUCUGUGCUUGUUUGGGAAAGCUUUACUCUUAAUUUCUGUAUUUGGCAACCACAGUGAUAUGUCAAUUUAAGGAAAACUCAGCAAAAUAAUUUAAACAAGGGUGUCAUCCAUAAUGGCAGUACCUCUAUGUUAUGAAGAUUUAACUUACCAGGAUAAUGGUUUCAAAACCCAGAUUCACAUCAGCCUCACCAGCUUCUUGUACAACAGGGCCAUUUGCUUUGUCAUACCUCAGCCAUAAAAGUCACAUCUCAAUUUAAAAUACUGUAUUGUGUAGCAAACAGUUAAGACACAAAUUCAGUAUAUUCAAGUGUUUGAUUUCCACAGAAAUGAAAAACCUUUCUUUAACAGACAGAUAAGCAUUUCAAAACUGUAAUGAAAUCUGAUUUCUUAGAGAGUAACCUAGAGAACACUGGUUCUGUGAGGACACAGCUCAGCCCAGGGCAGGGUGGAAGUGCUCGAGUUGUGUCGCCCCCCAGCUCUCCCCAGAGCAGCUGAGCCACCAGCAAACCUCAGCCAGGCACCAAGACCCCCAGUCACCAGCCCUGGGGCUCCAUGGCCAUUGCUGGCACUGCUGUGACCACAGACUCAGACGACACCUGCACUUUUCCAGAAAAGAAAAAA